rnacentral:rRNA from 1 species
GAGGAAUAUUGGACAAUGGGAGCAAUCCUGAUCCAGCAAUGCCGCGUGUGGGAUGACGGGGCUUUGCCUUGUAAACCACUGUCGGACGGGACGAGAAGAGGUAAGAACCUCUGGGACGGUACCGUCAAAGGAAGGAUCGGCUAACUACGUGCCAGCAGCCGCGGUAAUACGUAGGAUCCAAGCGUUGUCCGGAUUUACUGGGUAUAAAGGGUGCGUAGGCGGCUUUUUGCGUCAGAGGUGAAAUCCACGGGCUUAACCCGUGGGGUGCCUUUGAAACGGGAAGGCUUGAGUAUGACAGAGGCGGAUGGAAUUCCUGGUGUAGCAGUGAAAUGCGUAGAUAUCGGGAGGAACACCGGUGGCGAAGGCGGUCCGCUGGGUCGUAACUGACGCUGAGGCACGAAAGCGUGGGGAUCAAAC